rnacentral:rRNA from 1 species
CGGUCUUAGCGGCGGACGGGUGAGUAACGCGUGGGAACGUGCCCUUCACUACGGAAUAGUCCCGGGAAACUGGGUUUAAUACCGUAUACGCCCUUCGGGGGAAAGAAUUUCGGUGAAGGAUCGGCCCGCGUUGGAUUAGGUAGUUGGUGGGGUAAUGGCCUACCAAGCCGACGAUCCAUAGCUGGUUUGAGAGGAUGAUCAGCCACACUGGGACUGAGACACGGCCCAUACUCCUACGGGAGGCAGCAGUGGGGAAUCUUAGACAAUGGGCGCAAGCCUGAUCUAGCGAUGCCGCGUGAGUGAUGAAGGUCUUAGGAUCGUAAAGCUCUUUCGCCAGGGAUGAUAAUGACAGUACCUGGUAAAGAAACCCCGGCUAACUCCGUGCCAGCAGCCGCGGUAAUACGGAGGGGGUUAGCGUUGUUCGGAAUUACUGGGCGUAAAGCGCGCGUAGGCGGAUUAUUAAGU